CCUACGAGAGGCUGCAGUGGGGAAUAUUGGACAAUGGGGGAAACCCUGAUCCAGCGACGCCGCGUGAGUGAAGAAGUAUUUCGGUACGUAAAGCUCUAUCAGCAGGAAAGAAAAUGACGGUAGCUGACUAAGAAGCCCCGGCGAAAUACGUGUCAGCAGCAGCGGGUAUACGUAGGGGGCAAGAGUUAUCCGGAUUUACUGGGUGGAAAGGGAGCGUAGACGGGAGCGCAAGUCUGGGGAGAAAUGCCGGGGCCCAAAACCGGGACUGCUCUGGAAACUGUGAAGCUGGAGUGCAGGAGAGGUAAACGGAAUUCCUGGUGUAGCGGGGAAAUGCGUAGAUAUCAGGAGGAACACCGGCGGCGAAGGCGGCUUACUGGACUGUAACUGACGUUGAGGCUUGAAGGCGUGGGGAGCAAACAGGAUUAGAUACCCCAGUAGUC
rnacentral:rRNA from 1 species